rnacentral:lncRNA from 1 species
UAUUAAUGAAUAUGAAAACAAAAAAGAAGUUCCAGAGCUACUGCUCCUCAGUUAGAGAAAACAAUUCUCUCACUGCCCAAACCCUAAUAUGAAAAACAGAAAAUAAUAGCAUACCUAGCUACUGCCCCAUACACUCCUAUUAAUAUGGGGAAUACUAAACUAACUCCUAUUUAUUUGGAAAUACUAACAAACUAACUGAGACUCCUAUUUAUUUGGAAAAUACUAACAAAUUAAAUGAGACUCCUAUUUAUUUGGAGAAUACUAAUUAACUGGGCCUUU